GUUCGGUGGAAACGAGAAUAAAACGUGAAGGAUAACGUUGCGUCAGCAACGGCCCGUAGGGCGAAGCGAAGCCGAGUCAUCCUGCACGACCCACCA
rnacentral:sRNA from 2 species